GGGUGUGUAGCUCAGUGGUAGAGCACGUGCUUAGCAUGCACAAGGUCCUGGGUUCAAUCCCAGUACCUCCA
rnacentral:tRNA from 1 species